ensembl:snRNA U1 U1 spliceosomal RNA
AUACUUACCUGGCAGGGGAGAUACCGUGAUUACGAAGGUGGUUUUCCCAGGGUGAGGCUUAUUCAUUGUACUCCGGAUGUGCUGACCCCUGCGAUUUCCCCAAACGUGGGAAACUCAACUGCGUUAAA